AUGCCCUGUUCCCAUCCCAACACUGACUUCAGAGGUCAGGUGUCCAGAAGUCAAUCUUGUGGGACAGCAAACAUGUUUGGAUCUGCAUUCACCUGGAGCUGCUGGAGUGGAGAGAAAGCUUUGGAAGGACCCGUGGGGGAAAGUGGAGACUGUCAUUGGCCCAUGAGCUUCCAGAAUAAAGACAAACGUGUCAUGCUGUGAACUGUGCAG
rnacentral:lncRNA from 1 species